GGGAUCAGGAUUUAGGAAGAAUCCGGGCACGCUGGCGGCUCACGCACGGCGGCGAGGUUGGCGGACUUCGGGUCGACGGGGUGCAGGCAGUUGGAGGUCGACGGCGAAGGGAGGCCGGUGGCUGUUCGUUGGGGCGGAAGCAGAUUAGGCCGGUUUGGGCUUGCGAUCCGUUCCAAUGGAGUAAGCGGAUGGAGGCCGGACUCGGCAAGGCCGGAGCGGAAGGUCGGCGGGAGCAGGAGAACGGCUAGGUCGGCUUUCGGCUCGGGGAAGGAAGAUCGGACUCGUGCACAGUUGCCGUCGGGUGCAGGCGUCGAGAGAUGGAGAGUUGGAGCUCGAGAGAAAGUGAGAGCAAAAGCGACCUACGAAAUGCCAUGUUCAUGCGAUUAAGGCCAAGACUGAACCCAGACAGGUAUGCUACAUGGUUUCAAAUAUUUGAUGAUUUAUAAAUAUUAUUUUUUAAAUACUUUGUAUUUCAUAAAAGCACCUGUGUACUUCUUAUGCUCUAACAAGGCUGUAUGAUCGUCAUUAAUCUCACCUUUUGUUUGGCUAAUUUUUUCAGAACUUAUUCCUUAUCAUAAUUAUUACAAAAGAAGCAAAAUUUUAUAGGUGGAAGGCAAUCCCAUACCUGAAGCAAUAAUAAUAAUAAUAAUAAUAAAAUCUCUCUUGCCUUUGUUCAUUUGCUGCGCUUUCCUAAAGGUGUAGGGUUUCUUCUUUCAUCAAAGUUUUAUAGCCACGAGCAUGCUUUCUAAAAAAAAAAUCAUGUGUGAAAUCAAAAUCAUUCCUGAGUUUGUGGCCGAAGUUUUUUGUAUACAGAGCAUAUAAAUCAAUUUAAUGUAGUUGAUUUUUACAUAUUUUCGUAUUCUGUAGACUAAAUUUGAGCUUAUUAGCAAUGUAAUUAGAUCAUUUCUGGAUUCCAAGUUAUUUGUAAUCAAACUAGUUUACUGUACCAAGAAUAUAACUCA